rnacentral:rRNA from 1 species
GUGUCAGCAGCCGCGGUAAUACGGGGGGAGCGAGCGUUGUCCGGAAUCACUGGGCGUAAAGGGUGUGUAGGCGUCCCGGUAAGUCUCUGGUGAAAGCCUUCCGCUCAACGGAAGAAUUGCCAGAGAUACUGUCGGGAUUGAGUCCGGGAGAGGGGAGCGGAAUUCCAGGUGUAGCGGUGAAAUGCGUAGAUAUCAGGAAGAACGCCAGAGGCGAAGGCGGCUCCCUAGCCCGGUACUGACGCUGAGGCACGAAAGCGUGGGGAACGAACGGGAUUAGAUACCCCGGUAGUCCACGCCCUAAACGGUGGGCACUAGGUGUGGGGCCUUUAAUGGUUCCGUGCCGAAGGGAAACCAAUAAGUGCCACGCCUGGGAAGUACGGCCGCAAGGCUGAAACUUAAAUGAAUUGGCGGGG